rnacentral:rRNA from 1 species
UACGUAGGGGGCUAGCGUUGUCCGGAAUCAUUGGGCGUAAAGAGCGUGUAGGCGGUCCGGUAAGUCCGCUGUGAAAGUCGGGGGCUCAACCCUCGAAUGCCGGUGGAUACUGUCGGGCUAGAGUGCGGAAGAGGCGAGUGGAAUUCCUGGUGUAGCGGUGAAAUGCGCAGAUAUCAGGAAGAACACCCGUGGCGAAGGCGGCUCUCUGGGACGGUACUGACGCUGAGACGCGAAAGCGUGGGGAGCAAACAGG